rnacentral:rRNA from 1 species
GAUGAACGCUAGCGGCAGGCUUAAUACAUGCAAGUCGGACGGGAUUUGGGAGCUUGCUCCCAAUGAGAGUGGCGCACGGGCGCGUAACACGUAUGUAACCUACCUUAAUCAGGGGGAUAGCCUCUCGAAAGAGAGAUUAACACCGCAUAACAUCAUGAGAUAGCAUUAUUUUAUGAUCAAAUAUUUAUAGGAUUAAGAUGGGCAUGCGGGACAUUAGCUAGUUGGCGGGGUAACGGCCCACCAAGGCGACGAUGUCUAGGGGAUCUGAGAGGAUGGCCCCCCACACCGGUACUGAGACACGGACCAGACUCCUACGGGAGGCAGCAGUAAGGAAUAUUGGUCAAUGGGCGCAAGCCUGAACCAGCCAUGCCGCGUGCAGGAAGACGGCCCUACGGGUUGUAAACUGCUUUUGUACCGGAAUAAACCUUGAUAUGUAUAUCAAGCUGAAUGUACGGUAAGAAUAAGGAUCGGCUAACUCCGUGCCAGCCGCCGCCGUAACAC